rnacentral:rRNA from 1 species
CCUACGGGCGGCAGCAGUCGAGAAUCAUUCACAAUGGGGGAAACCCUGAUGGUGCGACGCCGCGUGAGGGAAUGAAGGUCUUCUGAUUGUAAACCCCUUCCAUGUGGGAGCAAAUUAAAAAGAUAGUACCAGAAGCGCAAGAGACGGCCAACUCUGUGCCAGCAGCCGCGGUAAUACAGAGGUCGCAAGCGUUGUUCGGAAUCACUGGGGGUAAGGCGUGCGUCGGCUGUAUCGUAAGUCGGAGGUGAAUGGCGCGGGCGCAACCCGCGGACGGCACAUGAUACUGCGAGACUAGAGUAAUGGAGUGGGAACCGGAAUUCUCGGUGUAGCAGUGAAAUGCGUAGAUAUCGAGAGGAACACUCGUGGCGAAGGCGGGUUCCUGGACAUUAACUGACGCUGAGGCACGAAGGCCAGGGGAGUGAAAGGGAGUAGAUACCCGAGUAGUC